UACGAAGGGGGCUAGCGUUGUUCGGAAUUACUGGGCGUAAAGGGCGCGUAGGCGGCGUGGUAAGUCACUUGUGAAAUCUCUGAGCUUAACUCAGAACGGUCAAGUGAUACUGCUGUGCUAGAGUGCGGAAGGGGCAAUCGGAAUUCUUGGUGUAGCGGUGAAAUGCGUAGAUAUCAAGAGGAACACCUGAGGUGAAGACGGGUUGCUGGGCCGACACUGACGCUGAUGCGCGAAAGCCAGGGGAGCAAACGGG
rnacentral:rRNA from 1 species